rnacentral:rRNA from 1 species
AUUGAACGCUGGCGGCAGGCCUAACACAUGCAAGUCGAACGGUAACAGGAAGCAGCUUGCUGCUUUGCUGACGAGUGGCGGACGGGUGUGUAAUGUCUGGGACACUGCCUGAUGGAGGGGGUUAACUACUGGAAACGGUAGCUAAUACGGCAUAACGUCGCAAGACCAAAGAGGGGGAGCUUCGGGCCUCUUGCCAUCGGAUGUGCCCAGAUGGGAUUAGCUAGUAGGUGGGGUAACGGCUCACCUAGGCGACGAUCCCUAGCUGGUCUGAGAGGAUGACCAGCCACACUGGAACUGAGACACGGUCCAGACUCCUACGGGAGGGAGCAGUGGGGAAUAUUGCGCAAUGGGCGAAAGCCUGACGGAGCAACGCCGCGUGUAUGAUGAAGGCCUUCGGGUCGUAAAACACUUUUAGCGGGGAGGAAGGGAGUAAAGUUAAUCCCUUCGCUUAUUGACGUUACCCGAAGAAGAAGCACCGGCUAACUACGUG